rnacentral:rRNA from 1 species
CCUACGGGUGGCUGCAGUGAGGAAUAUUGGUCAAUGGGCGCGAGCCUGAACCAGCCAAGUAGCGUGAAGGAUGACUGCCCUACGGGUUGUAACCUUCUUUUAUAAAGGAAUACAGUGAGGCACGUGUGCCUUUUUGUCUGUACUUUAUGAAUAACGAUCGGCUAACUCAGUGCCAGCAGCCGCGGUAAUACGGAGGAUCAGAGCGUUAUCCGGAUUUAUUGGGUGUAAAGGGAGCGUAGAUGGGUUGUUAAGUCAGUUGUGAAAGUUUGCGGCUCAACCGUAAAAUUGCAAUUGAUACUGGCGGCCUUGAGUACAGUUGAGGCAGGCGGAAUUCGUGGUGUAGCGGUGAAAUGCGUAGAUAUCACGAAGAACACCGAUUGCGAAGGCAGCUUACUAAACUGCCACUGACAUUGAUGCUCGAAAGUGUGGGUAUCAAACAGGAUUAGAUACCCUUGUAGUC